AUUAUCUUGGCAGAAAAGUGCAUUAGCUUUAGAAUCUAAAUAUGUUUAAGUAACAGAUAAUA
rnacentral:tRNA from 1 species